rnacentral:misc_RNA from 1 species
GAUGAAGAACGCAGCGAAAUGCGAUACUUGGUGUGAAUUGCAGAAUCCCGUGAACCAUCGAGUCUUUGAACGCAAGUUGCGCCCGAAGCCAUUAGGCCGAGGGCACGCCUGCCUGGGCGUCACACGUCGUUGCCCCCCCAUCUACUCCUUCGGGAUUGCGGGGGGCGGAUGAUGGCCUCCCGUGCGUCUCGUCGCGCGGUUGGCAUAAAUGCCAAGUCCUCGGCGACGCACGCCACGACAAUCGGUGGUUGCGAAACCUCGGUUGCCCGUCGUGUGCGGUCGUCGCGCAUCGAGGGCUCGAAAAAAUUGCCGGGCUCCGGCUCGGCUUUCAACGCGACCCCAGGUCAGGCGGGGUUACCCGCUGAAUUUAAGCAUAUCAAUAAGCGGAGGA